CCUACGGGAGGCAGCAGUGAGGAAUAUUGGUCAAUGGGCGGAAGCCUGAUGCAGCGACGCCGCGUGAGUGAAGAAGUAUUUCGGUAUGUAAAGCUCUAUCAGCAGGGAAGAAAAUGACGGUACCUGAUUAAGAAGCCCCGGCUAACUACGUGCCAGCAGCCGCGGUAAUACGUAGGGGGCAAGCGUUAUCCGGAUUUACUGGGUGUAAAGGGAGUGUAGACGGCAGCACAAGUCUGGAGUGAAAUGCCGGGGCUUAACCCCGGAACUGCUUUGGAAACUGUGCAGCUAGAGUGCAGGAGAGGUAAGUGGAAUUCCUAGUGUAGCGGUGAAAUGCGUAGAUAUUAGGAGGAACACCAGUGGCGAAGGCGGCUUACUGGACUGUAACUGACGUUGAGGCUCGAAAGCGUGGGGAGCAAACAGGAUUAGAUACCCCUGUAGUC
rnacentral:rRNA from 1 species